rnacentral:rRNA from 1 species
AUGCACGCUGGCGGCGUGCCUAAUCCAUGCCAGUCGAGCGAACAGAUGAGGAGCUUGCUCCUCUGACGUUAGCGGCGGACGGGUGAGUAACACGUGGAUAACCUACCUAUAAGACUGGGAUAACUUCGGGAAACCGGAGCUAAUACCGGAUAAUAUAUUGAACCGCAUGGUUCAAUAGUGAAAGACGGUUUUGCUGUCACUUAUAGAUGGAUCCGCGCCGCAUUAGCUAGUUGGUAAGGUAACGGCUUACCAAGGCGACGAUGCGUAGCCGACCUGAGAGGGUGAUCGGCCACACUGGAACUGAGACACGGUCCAGACUCCUACGGGAGGCAGCAGUAGGGAAUCUUCCGCAAUGGGCGAAAGCCUGACGGAGCAACGCCGCGUGAGUGAUGAAGGUCUUCGGAUCGUAAAACUCUGUUAUUAGGGAAGAACAAAUGUGUAAGUAACUAUGCACGUCUUGACGGUACCUAAUCAGAAAGCCACGGCUAACUACGUG